GGGCUCUAUAGAGGCGACCGGCAAGCUGGAACACCAACCUGGAAAGAGAGUGAGCCACAAGGACCAAUUGGAAGCCUGUGGGGGAUAUCGGGGGCGGGGCUGCUGGCUGUGGUACUUUUGCAGCUUUGGUGGGCUCCGGCUUCCUUCACUCCAGCCCACCGCGUCCGAGAGACUUAGCAGGGCGUCAAACUGGAGAGCGGAAGGAUGGAACCUUUUAUUCUCAGGUGGAGAGGAUUAAGCUUUGCGGUGUUAGCAGAAAAUGAUCGAGCUCCAGAAAAUGAUUUGGAGGGUGAUCCCUUGGGGACUACGCUCCUUGAAACAAGGAGGACAGUUCUGCAGGUGUACCCAGCAGCUCCGAAGAGACAGCGACCAUCGAGAACAAGCCAUGAUGAUGAUGGUGGUUUGUCGAAAAGGAAAUGGGGAAAUGUGGGGAAAAGAGAGAUCAGACUGUUACUGUGUCUGUGUAGAAAGAAGUAGACAUAAGAGACUCCAUUUUGUUCUGUACUAAGAAAAAUUAUUCUGCCUUGAGAUGCUGUUAAUCUGUAACCCUACCCCCAACCCUGUGCUCCCUGAAACACGUGCUGUGUCAACUCAGGGUUAAAUGGAUUAAGGGCUGUGCAGGAUGUGCUUUGUUAAACAAAUGCUUGAAGGCAGCAUGCUUGUUAAGAGUCAUCAUCACUCCCUAAUCUCAAGUACCCAGAGACAAUACGCUGCGGAAGGCCGCAGGGACCUCUGCCUAGGAAAGCCAGGUAUUGUCCAAGGUUUCUCCCCAUGUGAUAGUCUGAAAUAUGCUGGCCGGGAAAGACCUGACCGUCCCCCAGCCCAACACCCGUAAAGGGUCUGUGCUGAGGAGGAUUAGUAAAAGAGGAAGGAAGGCCUCUUUGCAGUUGAGAUAAGAGGAAGGCAUCUGUCUCCUGCUCGUCCCUGGGCAAUGGGAUGUCUCGGUGUAAAACCCGAUUGUAUGUUCCAUCUACUGAGAUGGGGAAAACCGCCUUAGGGCUGGAUGUGGGACAUGCUGGCAGCAAUACUGCUCUUUAAGGCAUUGAGAUGUUUAUGUGUAUGCACAUCAAAAGCACAGCACUUUUUUCUUUACCUUGUUUAUGAUGCGGAGACGUUUGUUCACAUGUUUUCCUGCUGACCUUCUCUCCACUAUUACCCUAUUGUCCUGCCACAUCCCCCUCUCCGAGAAACGCCCAAUAAUGAUCAAUAAAUACUGAGGGAACUCAGAGACUGGUGCCGGUGCGGGUCCACUGUAUGCUGAGCGCCACUUCCCUAAGCCCACUUUUCUUUCUCUAUACUUUGUCUCUGUGUCUCCUUCUUUUCUUAAGUCUCUCAUUCCACCUGACAAGAAAUGCCCACAAGUGUGGAGGGGCAGGCCACCCCUUCACUCAGCCUCCUGAGUAGCUGGGAUUGCAGGUGCGCGCCACCAUGUCUGGCUAAUUUUUGUGUUUUUAGUAGAGGCGGGGUUUCACCCUGUUGGCCAGGUUGGUCUUGAACUCCUGACCUCAGGUGAUCCACCCAUCUGGGCCUCCCAAAGUUCUGAGAUUACAGGCAUGAGUCACCGUGCCCAGCCCAUUUAUCCUUGAUAUAGCUAAAUUACUGAGCAUUAGGAAGGGUGGAACUUUCAGCCUGUAAAAUAUGAGUGAGGUUUCACAAAAACUAGCACAAUGUCUGGGGCCCAGAUUAUUCUAUUUGUGACUGGGCGGGAAGAGGUAUAUAUAUAGUAAUUUUUGUAUUUUUAGUAGAGACGGGGUUUCACCAUGUUGGCCAGGCUGGUCUUGAACUCCUGACGUUAAGUGAUCCAUCUGCCUCCCAAAGUGCUGGGAUUACAGGUGUGAGCCACCACUUUGGGCCAUAGAUCGGGUGAUUGGGGGAAGACCUGAGGUAUCUGAGCAGAAAUCUGGUUGGGGAGUGAGCCAACAGUUAUCUGGAGGGAAACUGGUUCAGGCAGAGGGAAGAGCAAAUCCAAAGCUCCUAAAGCAAAAGCAUAUUUUUGGUGUAUUUGAGAAACAGCAAGAAGGUCAAUGUAGCUAAGAGCCGGAAUAAGAGAAGAGAUGCAGGCAGGGAUGAGAUUGUUUUUGGCUUCUUAGGUCAUGGUAAGAACUUGGAUUUUAUUUUUUGUGUAAUGGGCACCCAUCAGAUGGUGUUGAGGAGGGGACUGACACAAAAUCAUUUAGGUAUUAAACUGAUCCUUCCGCUGCUCCAUGGGGACCCAGAGUGGAAGUAGUAGCAGGAAACCAAUUAGGCUUUUACAAUAGUUCAGGUAAGAGAUGACAGUGACUUGGACUAGGGUGUAGUAGCUAUGGAGAUGGUUGAAAAUGGCUAGAUGUGGGAUCUAUUUUAAAGGUACCACCAACAGCAUUUGCAGACUCAAGGAUGAUUUCAAAGUUUUGGGUCUGAGCAACUAGGUGAAUGAUAACAUUGUUUACUGAGACGGGGAGGCCUUAAGUAGAAGGUUUAGGAGGGAAAAUAUAGAUUUUGCUAUGGAC
rnacentral:lncRNA from 10 species